UACCGAAUGAGGCCAACCGUUGCUUCUGGUGCUUAGCUGGUUUUGUCAGUGGUUGCAGUUUUUAAAGAAUGCUUACUUUGAGUAGGCAGCGAGUAUCCCAACGUAUGGCUGCAUUCAGCGAGAGGAUCAACAGGGCCAUCCAGGACUUAUAACAGCUCUGCAGACCCCACACAUCCUGGACACAAACUGUCUCACCUUCAGUACGCUCAUAUGCAGAAGACGAUGGACUGCAGGUUGUCCAGGUUAUGUGGCUGUAAACAAGCCAUGAUCACCCUGCAUUCACCGCCGUGCUUUAAGGUUGCGAUGGGGAAAAUAUUGCAACUAUAAAUUUACAAAAACUUCCCCAAAUAUAAAGCAGUUCAUUGUGGAGAAACAGAACAUCUCUCGUUCCUGAAUUGUCAAACACUUCAGCUCAGUUAUCCAGUUCACUGUGGAAAUGUGUGGGCUGCUGAUGGGCCAGACCAACUCGAUAAGUGUUCCCCAUUUCAUGAAUAAUAAACGCUGA